UACGGCCACAGCACGUUAAAAUAGCGGUUCCUGUACGAUCUCGUAAUUUAAGCAACUUCGAUCCUGGCUAGUACGUAGAUGGGUGACCACUUGGUAAUACUUGGUAUUGUAA